CCUACGGGGGGCAGCAGUGGGGAAUAUUGCGCAAUGGGCGAAAGCCUGACGCAGCGACGCCGCGUGAGGGAUGAAGGUCUUCGGAUCGUAAACCUCUGUCAGCAGGGAAGAACGGUCACUGUGCUAAUCAGCAGUGAAUUGACGGUACCUGCAAAGGAAGCACCGGCUAACUCCGUGCCAGCAGCCGCGGUAAUACGGAGGGUGCGGGCGUUAAUCGGAAUUACUGGGCGUAAAGCGCUCGUAGGCGGUAUGUCAAGUCAAGGGGGAAAUCCCCGCGCUCAACGUGGGAACUGCCUUUGAAACUGGCAAACUGGAGUGUGUGAGAGGAUAGUGGAAUUCCAGGUGUAGGAGUGAAAUCCGUAGAUAUCGGGAGGAACAUCAGUGGCGAAGGCGACUAUCUGGCACAUAACUGACGCUGAGGAGCGAAAGCGUGGGUAGCGAACAGGAUUAGAUACCCGGGUAGUC
rnacentral:rRNA from 1 species